rnacentral:ncRNA from 1 species
GCACGAGGACGCCCUCGCCCAUCACGGGAAAGCAAAUCGGGACGGCCCGG